GCCUCCCCGCCACUGGGAGUCCCGGCCCAGAGCCCAUUUGGCGGAGUGGGAGACUGAGGCCUCUGCGAGCCCGCCGGCGCUGAGGGGAAGCCCCGGGACCGCCCUGGCCGCCGCACCUGGCCUUGAGACACACCUUCAGUUUUCCAGUGAUUAUACAAAUCUUCAUGUUCUCUCGGAAAAGGGCAUACUAUCUCUGGAGGCAGGGCAGUGCGUGUCCCAGGGCCACCACUGCAAGGGCCUGCAGCAGGACAGUGCCCGGUCACACACCCUGGCCCUCCCACGGUGGAAAACAAUGAGAAAUAAAAGCAGCAACAGAGUUU